CUGAAGCGGAAACUGCUGGCUAGUUAGCUGUUGAACUGGCUUCUGAAGUGGAAACUGCUGGCUAGUUAGCUGUUGAACUGGCUUCUGAACUGGAAACUGCUGGUCAGUUUGCUGAAUCAUCAGAGCUUGAGCAUCCUGAAGCGAUUUUCUCCACUGUGGAACAGCAUGACAGAAAGCACAAACCACCAAAAUCUGAACCAAACACCAAAUUCCAGCCAUUGUUAAACAGCUAAACACAAAGUGGAGAUACUUCCCUUUAGUCUUUUUGUAUUCUACAGCUAUCAGCUAAUUAAUGACAGUCCCUCCCUCUUCAUUAACAACUGGGUGAUUCUCAUUGGAUCUCAAGAUUCAACGCUUAUAACAGCAACACAGAGGCUGCGUCCACAUCUUCAUUGACAACUCUCUCAAGCCUCGCUCACUCGGAUGCUAAACAUUCUUUCCAAAUUUUUAUCUUCGUCUGAUACAGGCUCAAGCAUAUCAGUUCUUCGGACUUCCGUUCUGAUGACCACCCAUUCACUGCAGAGGAUUCAUUGGGGAGCAAGUGAUGUGGCUUGCUGCUGAUGGGAACCACCAGUUUGUGGUUUCUGUGACUCAACAGGUGUUCCUGAUGGUGGAACUGCUGCUGCUUUUUUGGAGGCCUUCAGUGGGAAGGGAAGGCCUCGCUCGGUCCUGUAGUGGUUCAAGAGCACAAAAAGACUUUAGCUGGUGUUCAAUAAAUGUGGG